CGAACGCUGGCGGCGUGCCUAAUACAUGCAAGUCGAGCGAAGUUUUUCUGGUGCUUGCACCGGAAAAACUUAGCGGCGAACGGGUGAGUAACACGUAAAGAACCUGCCUCAUAGACUGGGACAACUAUUGGAAACGAUAGCUAAUACCGGAUAAUAGCAUUAACUGCAUGGUUGAUGUUUAAAAGUUGGUUUUGCUAACACUAUGAGAUGGCUUUGCGGUGCAUUAGCUAGUUGGUGGGGUAAAGGCCUACCAAGGCGACGAUGCAUAGCCGACCUGAGAGGGUGAUCGGCCACACUGGGACUGAGACACGGCCCAGACUCCUACGGGAGGCAGCAGUAGGGAAUCUUCCGCAAUGGGCGAAAGCCUGACGGAGCAACGCCGCGUGAGUGAAGAAGGAUUUCGGUUCGUAAAGCUCUGUUGUUAGGGAAGAAUGAUUGUGUAGUAACUAUACACAGUAGAGACGGUACCUAACCAGAAAGCCACGGCUAACUACGUG
rnacentral:rRNA from 1 species